UACGUAGGGGGCAAGCGUUGUCCGGAAUCACUGGGCGUAAAGCGUGCGCAGGCGGCUUUGCAAGACAGAUGUGAAAUCCCCGGGCUUAACCUGGGAACUGCAUUUGUGACUGCAUGGCUAGAGUGCGGCAGAGGGGGAUGGAAUUCCGCGUGUAGCAGUGAAAUGCGUAGAUAUGCGGAGGAACACCGAUGGCGAAGGCAAUCCCCUGGGCCUGCACUGACGCUCAUGCACGAAAGCGUGGGGAGCAAACAGG
rnacentral:rRNA from 1 species